GAUGAACGCUGGCGGCGUGCCUAAUACAUGCAAGUCGAGCGAACAGAUGAGGAGCUUGCUCCUCUGACGUUAGCGGCGGACGGGUGAGUAACACGUGGAUAACCUACCUAUAAGACUGGGAUAACUUCGGGAAACCGGAGCUAAUACCGGAUAAUAUAUUGAACCGCAUGGUUCAAUAGUGAAAGACGGUUUUGCUGUCACUUAUAGAUGGAUCCGCGCCGCAUUAGCUAGUUGGUAAGGUAACGGCUUACCAAGGCAACGAUGCGUAGCCGACCGGAGAGGGGGAUCGGCCACACUGGAACUGAGACACGGUCCAGACUCCUACGGGAGGCAGCAGUAGGGAAUCUUCCGCAAUGGGCGAAAGCCUGACGGAGCAACGCCGCGUGAGUGAUGAAGGUCUUCGGAGCGUAAAACUCUGUUAUUAGGGAAGAACAAAUGUGUAAGUAACUAUGCACGUCUUGACGGUACCUAAUCAGAAAGCCACGGCUAACUACGUG
rnacentral:rRNA from 1 species